rnacentral:rRNA from 1 species
UAGGGAAUAUUAGUUAAUGUGCGAAAGCGCGAACUAGCAACGCCGCGUGUGCGAUGAAGGCCUUCGGGUUGUAAAGCACUUUUCCAAGGGACGAGGAAGGACGGUACCUUGGGAAUAAGCAUCGGCUAACUACGUGCCAGCAGCCGCGGUAAAACGUAGGAUGCGAGCGUUAUCCGGAUUUACUGGGCGUAAAGCGCGUGUAGGCGGUUCGGUAAGUUGGAUGUGAAAGCUCCCGGCUUAACUGGGAGAGGUCGUUCAAUACUGCCGAGCUAGAGGAUGGUAGAGGAAGGUGGAAUUCCGAGUGUAGUGGUGAAAUGCGUAGAUAUUCGGAGGAACACCAGUGGCGAAAGCGGCCUUCUGGACCAUUUCUGACGCUCAUACGCGAAAGCUAGGGUAGCA